rnacentral:rRNA from 1 species
GCGCGGGCUCAACCCGCGGACGGCACAUGAUACUGCGAGACUAGAAUAAUGGAGGGGGAACCGGAAUUCUCAGUGUAGCAGUGAAAUUCGUAGAUAUCGAGAGGAACACUCGUGGCGAAGGCGGGUUCCUGGACAUUAACUGACGCUGAGGCACGAAGGCCAGGGGAGCGAAAGGGAUUAGAUACCCCUGUAGUCCUGGCAGUAAACGGUGCACGCUUGGUGUGCGGGGAAUCGACCCCCUGCGUGCCGGAGCUAACGCGUUAAGCGUGCCGCCUGGGGAGUACGGUCGCAAGAUUAAAACUCAAAGAAAUUGACGGGGACCCGCACAAGCGGUGGAGUAUGUGGCUUAAUUCGAUGCAACGCGAAGAACCUUACCUGGGCUUGACAUGUAAUGAACAACAUGUGAAAGCAUGCGACUCUUCGGAGGCGUUACACAGGUGCUGCAUGGCCGUCGUCAGCUCGUGUCGUGAGAUGUUUGGUUAAGUCCAGCAACGAGCGCAACCCCUGUUGCCAGUUACCAGCACGUGAAGGUGGGGACUCUGGCGAGACUGCCCAGAUCAACUGGGAGGAAGGUGGGGACGACGUCAGGUCAGUAUGGCCCUUAUGCCCAGGGCUGCACACGUACUACAAUGCCCAGUACAGAGGGGGCCGAAGCCGCGAGGCGGAGGAAAUCUCUGAA